AACGAACGCUGGCGGCAUGCCUAACACAUGCAAGUCGAACGAGACCUUUGGAUAUGGUGGCGCACGGGAGAGUAACGCUUGGGAACGGCCCCUGAGGGUCGGAAUAACUCGCAGCAAGGGCUGCUAAUACCGGAAACUGUCUGCGGCCCAAAGGAUUAUCGCCUGUGAAUGGGCCGGCGCUGGAUUGGCUAGUUGAUAGGUUAAAAGCCUCCGAAGGCCACGCUCCAUAGCUGCUCUGGGAGGAUGAUCAGCCACACUGGAACUGAGAAACGUCCCAGACUCCUACGGGAGGCAGCAGGGGGGAAUAUUGGACAAUGGGGAAAAGCCUAAUCAAGCACGGCCGGGUAAGUGUUAAAGGCCUUAGGUUUGUAAGGCUCUUUUACCCGGGAUGAUAAUGACAGUACCGGAGGAAUAAGCUCCGGCUAACUCCGUG
rnacentral:rRNA from 1 species